GGAGGGAAUAUUGGUUAAUGUGCGAAAGCGCGAACCAGCAACGCCGCGUGUACGAUGAAGGCCUUCGGGUUGUAAAGUACUUUUCACCGGGAAGAGGAAGGACGGUACCGGUGGAAUAAGUCUCGGCUAACUACGUGCCAGCAGCCGCGGUAACACGUAGGAGACGAGCGUUAUCCGGAUUUACUGGGUGUAAAGCGCGUGCAGGCGGUUUGUUAAGUUGGAUGUGAAAGCUCCCGGCUAAACUGGGAGAGGUCGUUCAAAACUAGCAGACUAGAGUGUGGUAGAGGGGAGUGGAAUUCCGAGUGUAGCGGUAAAAUGCAUAGAUAUUCGGAAGAACACCAGUGGCGAAGGCGACUUCCUGGACCACAACUGACGCUCAGACGCGAAAGCCAGGGUAGCAAACGGGAUUAGAAACCCCAGUAGUCC
rnacentral:rRNA from 1 species